rnacentral:lncRNA from 1 species
UGAAAAUUCAAUUUGAACGUCAUCUCAAAACAACAGGACAUUUGAAAUCAAAUCUUUAUCUAGGGAUGAUGAAAAGUUGACAUUCAGCACUCGCCGAAGGAUGGUGAAUUCGUAUUGAACGUGGUGAGGACGUGACAACUUCCCGGAAUUUCUCCACGAUGACAUUCGUCGAGUUACAAACGCGACAUUGCCGGCAUCGGACAGAAUUUUCAUCCGAUGAUUUGGUUCCAGAAGAAUUAAACAAAUUGUUGUCCUCCAGCCUGGCACCGCAAUUGAAGCAUUCAUCAGCCUGAUGCUGGGAGGCGGAUCGCAUGAGGCAGAUGAACGUUUCCAUCUAACUUUCUUUUGAAUAGUUCUACACAUGUGCUUGCUUCAUGCAAGCUGAAGGAUAACAGAAAGUGAAAAACACUCAUUAGGGUAAACCUGGUGUAAUAGCCUCUGUACUAAAUGCCAUAUGGGUGCCGUGAGCUAUUCGCAUUAACGGUUGCAACCAGUCUUACGACGAUGACCAACAACCUAGCCAGACAACAUCAAGCCUUGCAAAAUAGAAUUCGUAAUUCAUUCAUUUUAUUAUUUUCUUUUUAUUAAAAAUAGAUAAUUCUUCAUUUCAUUAGUUUGAACAUUUAGCAGACAAGGAUCUAACAUACACGUAAAUAUAUUUUUGUUUUCUUGAGUUUAAAGUCGAGACCAUCCUUGCAGUUGUCUGCCAACUGCUUGAAAAACCUGUUGGCCCAUUGCGAAGGUAGACGAGAUAAGGGCAGCAGCCAGUCCCUGAUUGCUGUUUUGUACUUGAGACAUCAAUUGAGCAUUCGAUUGCUGUUGUGCAUUAGUGUUUGUCGUCACUGCAAGUCCCUGUGGCCGACCCUGUGGUACGGGAGAUGCUCUAAUCACGGACAAGGUGAGAAAAAAAGCAAGCACGAUCUGAAGUUGAAAAGAAGAUAAUCUUUAAUAUAAUUUAAAUUAGAUGACUUUUACAACCAAACCCACCGCCAUCAUUAGCUUCAUCUUAAAGCAAUCAGACGAGCAGAAACGUUCCAAAAGUAGCUGUUGAACUGAAGUCAGCAAGAUCACGUCUACGAGUGACACAUUUGUAUUGGUACGGCAGGCCUUUUAUAGCGCAUUGGCCAACUCACGCAGGGACAUUAAGCAAUGGUCUAACGGGAACAUUUGAAGGACACACGUGUAUUUCGCACCACGUUCAAAAGACAUAAAGAUAAAAUAAAAAAAAAGUGAAAAACCCUGCACACACUUUCUAAACACAAUGGCUUAGGUUACUAACCUAGACGAUAUUUCAAGCAAAAUAUCGGACAACUUUCCAACGGAUAUCAAGGUGGGGGAGCCCUUGCGACGUGACUCGAAGAUCCUGUUCCAGUUUCGGCUCACUUCUUAAUAUGACGUAACAGAAUGUUCCAGUCGUAAAUUCCUAUUCACCUUUUAAGGAACAUAUUGUUGUCACAUGGUAGCUAUGCACUUUUAUCAAAUAAGUACAAAAGAAUUUGUAGUCGCAGUCACUGCAGGAGUUAAAAUAAAAUUUAAAUCUGAAGGUUA